rnacentral:rRNA from 1 species
GAUGAACGCUGGCGGCGUGCCUAAUACAUGCAAGUCGAGCGAACGGACGAGAAGCUUGCUUCUCUGAUGUUAGCGGCGGACGGGUGAGUAACACGUGGAUAACCUACCUAUAAGACUGGGAUAACUUCGGGAAACCGUAGCUAAUACCGGAUAAUAUUUUGAACCGCAUGGUUCAAAAGUGAAAGACGGUCUUGCUGUCACUUAUAGAUGGAUCCGCGCUGCAUUAGCUAGUUGGUAAGGUAACGGCUUACCAAGGCAACGAUGCAUAGCCGACCUGAGAGGGGGAUCGGCCACACUGGAACUGAGACACGGUCCAGACUCCUACGGGAGGCAGCAGUAGGGAAUCUUCCGCAAUGGGCGAAAGCCUGACGGAGCAACGCCGCGUGAGUGAUGAAGGUCUUCGGAUCGUAAAACGCUGUUAUUAGGGAAGAACAUAUGUGUAAGUAACUGUGCACAUCUUGACGGUACCGAAGCAGAAAGCCACGGCUAACUACGU